rnacentral:rRNA from 1 species
AGAGUUUGAUCCUGGCUCAGGAUGAACGCUGGCGGCGUGCUUAACACAUGCAAGUCGAACGAACCUUAGGGUUAGUGGCGGACGGGUGAGUAACGCGUGAGAAUCUGCCCUCAGGAGGGGGAUAACGGCUGGAAACGGCCGCUAAUACCCCAUAUGCCGAGAGGUGAAAUGAAUUUCGCCUGAGGAUGAGCUCGCGUCUGAUUAGCUAGUUGGUGGGGUAAGAGCCUACCAAGGCAUCGAUCAGUAGCUGGUCUGAGAGGAUGAUCAGCCACACUGGGACUGAGACACGGCCCAGACUCCUACGGGAGGCAGCAGUGGGGAAUUUUCCGCAAUGGGCGAAAGCCUGACGGACCAACGCCGCGUGAGGGAUGAAGGCCUCUGGGCUGUAAACCUCUUUUAUCAAGGAAGAAGAUCUGACGGUACUUGAUGAAUAAGCCACGGCUAAUUCCGUGCCAGCAGCCGCGGUAAUACGGGAGUGGCAAGCGUUAUCCGGAAUUAUUGGGCGUAAAGCGUCCGCAGGCGGCCUGAUAAGUCUGUUGUCAAAGCGUGGAGCUCAACUCCAUUUCGGCAAUGGAAACUGUGAGGCUUGAGUGUGGUAGGGGCAGAGGGAAUUCCCGGUGUAGCGGUGAAAUGCGUAGAUAUCGGGAAGAACACCAGUGGCGAAGGCGCUCUGCUGGGCCAUAACUGACGCUCAUGGACGAAAGCCAGGGGAGCGAAAGGGAUUAGAUACCCCUGUAGUCCUGGCCGUAAACGAUGAACACUAGGUGUCGGGGGAAUCGACCCCCUCGGUGUCGUAGCCAACGCGUUAAGUGUUCCGCCUGGGGAGUACGCACGCAAGUGUGAAACUCAAAGGAAUUGACGGGGGCCCGCACAAGCGGUGGAGUAUGUGGUUUAAUUCGAUGCAACGCGAAGAACCUUACCAGGGUUUGACAUCCUGCGAAUCCCUUGGAAACUUGGGAGUGCCUUCGGGAGCGCAGAGACAGGUGGUGCAUGGCUGUCGUCAGCUCGUGUCGUGAGAUGUUGGGUUAAGUCCCGCAACGAGCGCAACCCACGUCUUUAGUUGCCAGCAUUGAGUUGGGCACUCUAGAGAGACCGCCGGUGAUAAACCGGAGGAAGGUGUGGAUGACGUCAAGUCAUCAUGCCCCUUACAUCCUGGGCUACACACGUACUACAAUGCUACGGACAAAGGGCAGCAAACUCGCGAGAGCUAGCAAAUCCCAUAAACCGUGGCUCAGUUCAGAUCGUAGGCUGCAACUCGCCUACGUGAAGGAGGAAUCGCUAGUAAUCGCAGGUCAGCAUACUGCGGUGAAUACGUUCCCGGGCCUUGUACACACCGCCCGUCACACCAUGGAAGUUGGCCACGCCCGAAGCCGUUACUCCAACCC